CCCUAUUAUAAUUAAAGUAUUUAAGGAUUUUGAGUAGUAAAUGAUUCGACCAGGAAACUUAAAGAAUUUGGCGGUGUAUAUUCUAAUUAGAGGAAUAUGUUUUUUAAUUGAUAAUCCACAUUUAUCUUACUUAAAUUUAUUUACUUUGUAUAUCUCCGUCUUAAAAAGACUUUUUAAAAUAUUUUUUAGUUUAUAUAAUUUAUAAUAAGUCAGGUCAAGGUGCAGGUUAUGUUUAAGUUAAAAUGUAUUACAAUAAAUUUAUUUUUGAAUUUGGGUUUAAAUAGUCAAUGAAAUUGGAUUUAUAAGUAAAUUUUUUUGAAUUAUAAUCUACUGAAAUUGUUAAUAUAUAUUCACCAUCCC
rnacentral:rRNA from 1 species